AGUAACAUCUUCUCAGGACCCAGGGCUUUCCCGGACAGUUCACAGGGUGCGUUAGGGCAACAGGUUGGGCGUAGGUUGUUGAAAGCAUGGCCCCAGCCUAGUCCUCAAAGCCUCCUGGAGAGCUUGACUCUGCCACUUGGUGGCGGAGAGCUGGAGCGACAGGCCUGGGGACAGGCAGGAUUGCUUUGGUGAAGCAAUGGUUCUUCCGGGUUCCCUAACGGACCAGAAGAUUCCCUUCUUUUCUUUUUGCCAGACUGGCAAAUGGGGUUCUCAGCUCCCUCCACUCUUGGCUUCAUCGCACCCUAGAGAAUCAUACCCUAGAGGACGCCCCGCCGAGGCUCAUACCGAUCUCCAGCAAGGCGGGUGGAAAAAAUAAAAAACAGCUGGUCUUCAGGAGAGAGCUGCCCUGUUCAUGCGGGGGCUAAAAGAGAAAAGGGGACACGGGGAAAGCUACGGCACUGUGGAUUGACGAGGCGGCCCACAGCUCCAACCCACGCUCCAAGAAAGAACAGUGGUCCGGGGGAUGACCAAGGACGAGUCUCCUACCGUGUCCUGCUUGGGGGCAGGUCUAGUUCUCCCUCCAGCCUUUCUUUUACAACUUCCAUGCCUAAGACAAAAUGACCAAGGAACCCAACCGGUACCUUCGCACCCAGACUCUCCCGGUUAUCCCAGGCCUGCAUAUCGCAGAGCCCAGGCGGGGAUUGCAGCGUGCACAGAAUCGAAUUAAACGCAUUUCGGUGGU